rnacentral:rRNA from 1 species
UACGGAGGGUGCAAGCGUUAUCCGGAUUCACUGGGUUUAAAGGGAGCGUAGGUGGGAUGGUAAGUCAGUGGUGAAAUCUCCAGGCUUAACUCGGAAACUGCCGUUGAUACUAUCAUUCUUGAAUAUUGUGGAGGUAAGCGGAAUAUGUCAUGUAGCGGUGAAAUGCUUAGAUAUGACAUAGAACACCGAUAGCGAAGGCAGCUUGCUACACAAUUAUUGACACUGAGGCUCGAAAGCGUGGGGAUCAAACAGG